GGGUCAUAGCCAAGUGGUAAGGCAGUGGACUGCAACUCCUUGAUCGUUGGUUCAAAUCCGACUGGCCC
rnacentral:tRNA from 2 species